GAUUAAUUAUUCUUUGCAAGAAAGCCGUUCUUUUUCAAGUUCCCUUUACCAGGUUCCUAACUUUUCUUCUUGAAUAAGAAAAGAAGAAAGUUCUGGUGUUACAUAAUGUCAAAUGGAGACAAACGAAGAAAAAUAGGAGAGAUUUAGAGACUAGUUAUCAAAAAUGAACCCUCAACGGAUUCCGUUUUCAUGUUUCUCUGUUGGUUCUGUUACGACAACGUAACCCAGUUCGAAACCGGAGCGGUUGAUGAAAACGAAAUUCAUUAGAAACAAGCGGUAAACACUUCAUAUUCUCUUUCAUAGUUUAUUACAUCAUACCUUUUCAAGGAGUUGCUUCUUUCUUGUUAUUCUCCCACUCCACACAUAAUCAGAACGGUGUUGCCUGCACCUGAAGGAUCCCGGGUGCCUCGUGGGUGAACACAAACACUUGUUUAUCGAUCUAGAAAUAGCACUUCCGGCACCAGCAGCCACCUCUGUUCGUGCAUGUGCAGUUUCUGUCUCAACUGCUUGCAAAACGAGCCUUCUCUGAUACACCACCAAGUUCCUUUGGCUAACCGAAAGCUCACCAGGGUGACACAUUUUUCCUUGUAACCUUUCUUCUGGUUAAGAUUGUAGUAGGUAUUUUUAUUGUGAAGAGAGAGCUUGAUCAAAAGAAAAGGAAAGAAUCCGUGGUGUGUGAGAUUUUAUAAGAAGUAAAGAAAGGAAGCCUAAAUAAAAGGUGUAAAGGAGUUGUAGGUUGAUAAUUCAUUCCCGGAGAGGCCUUGCUCUUUGAUUUCUUGCAUUCGUGGGUUAUCACUAACCUGAGUAAGGUAUAUGCUUUGGCUCAUGAAACCACACCACCACCACUAAUCAAAAAACAAACGGCCUAACAAGAUAACGAAGCCGCAAAUGCAAAAGGGAAGUGGCCAAAAACUAUUCACCAGAAAAGUCAGGAGCUUCUAGCUGAAACGUGGCAUAAAGAUGCCAUGUGGCUAUGUGUGAUGAGCCUGAUUCAUGCAUGCCGCUUGUUGUGUCUCAAGUGGAAGGGUCCCAUUCGAGCCAACGGUUUGUACUUUCAUCUUUCUUUAGAAAUUUGCUUGGUUUUGAUUGGCAAAAAGUUGUUUGUUUCGAUAAUAUGGUAUGCUUAGCUU